rnacentral:misc_RNA from 1 species
UUUUCGUAGGUGAACCUGCGGAAGGAUCAUUAGUGAAGUAUAACAAGGGGUGCUCUUUAUUGAGACCCUGACUCCACUUUUUCAAACACUGUGCACUAGAAACUGAUUUAACUUCUUGACUUGCUCGAAUUCAUUUUUGAACGAGCCGAUCAGUUAAACCAAUUUUUUUAACACCUUUUGGAUUUAAUUGAGAUGAGAAUGUUGUAAACGAUGAAAAUCAUAAAACAACUUUCAGCAACGGAUGUCUUGGCUCUC